CUGGGGAGACAGCCUAAACGCAACCAGUAGCCGGAGUCCGAAGUCGGGCCCUCCCUUCUGCCCGCGACCGCGUUAGCUAAACCCGACCCAGCAACCAGGCCACCGCUCCUUUCCUCUCCGAUCCGGAUCUCCCCACCCGCUCCGGCGAGCCAUCGCCGCGUCGCCUCCACGCGACCGACUACUUCUCAUAUCAAUCUAUCUAUCCGGCUUACCCGCCGCCGCACGCACCAAGGUUGCGUUCACCAUAUUACCUGUUUGCUUAUCUUCUCCCGAGCCCAGCAAACCCUAGCCGCCGCCACCCAUGGACAUAGAGGCCGACGGACGAUUCGGCAACAAACGAGUGCACAAUCGCCUAGGCCCGGGCUCCGGCGGCGCUCCACCAUCUACCAACGGAAAGGUCUGCAACUACUGGCGUGCCGGUCGGUGCAACCGCUUUCCGUGCCCCUUCCUCCACAGCGAGCUCCCCGAGGCUGCGCCGCCCAAGCGCCCCACUGGACCCGGGGGGAACGUAUGGCGCAACCCCAACACCGGAGGACGAGGAGGUGGCCAUCACAAUAGAUGGGGGAAGGGCCCAGGAGGGGGCAGCGGGAUUGCGAGCCACAAGCCGCCUGAGAGGCCCUGCAAGUACUUUCUCGCCGGUACCGAAUGUAGCUAUGGCGAGAGGUGCCGCUAUCCGCACAGCUACUGCAUAAGCGAUAGUAUCGCGAUGCUUACCUUGCUCAAGGGACACGAGCAGGGUGUCACGGGCAUUGCACUGCCCGCUGGGUCAGACAAGCUUUAUUCCGGGAGUAAGGAUGGAACUGUUCGCAUGUGGGAUUGCCAAACUGGGCAGUGUGCUGGUGUCAUCACCAUGGGUCGUGAGGUUGGGUGUAUGAUCAUUGAAGGUCCGUGGUUAUUUGUUGGAAUACCUGAUGCAGUGAAGGUUUGGAAUAUGCAAACAGCAGCGGAAAUGAGCCUUACUGGACCAACUGGGCAAGUCUAUGCACUCGCCGUUGCCAGUGAGUUACUCUUUGCUGCAACACAAGCUGGGAGGAUUUUAGCAUGGAGAUUUAGUGCCGCAACUAACUGUUUUGAGCCAGCUGCUUCUCUAGAUGGCCAUAAGCUUGCUGUUGUUUCAUUGAUAGUAGGAGGCAUGAGGCUUUAUUCUGCUUCAAUGGAUAAAACUAUCAGAGUAUGGGAUUUGGCAACUUUGCAGUGCAUACAGACUCUUUCUGAUCAUACCGAUGUUGUUAUGUCCGUGCUUUGCUGGGAUCAAUUUCUAUUAUCUUGCUCUUUGGAUCAAACAAUAAAAGUUAGUCGCCAUCUACAUCAUCAUUUUGGUUUGGGCCGCUACAGAGAGUGGAAACUUAGAAGUAACAUAUACACACAAAGAGGAUCAGGGUGCACUUGCCCUCAGUGGUAUGCCUGACGCACAGUCAAAACCUGUGCUACUGUGUUCAUUAAAUGACAACACUGUCCGCUUAUAUGAUCUGCCAUCGUUCAGUGACAGAGGCAGAUUAUUCUCCAAAAAAGAAAUUAGGGCAAUACAGAUGGGUCCUGGUGGUUUAUUUUUUACCGGGGAUGGAACUGGUGAGCUCAAGGUUUGGCAGUGGGUAGAUUUAGCCCAAACCUAAUGAACAUAGUGUGCUAGAUUAGUUUUCUCUCAUGUAUUUUAUGAGGGAGUUCGUACAAAUACGCAUAAUGAGUUCAGGUUGUGGUCGGUGGCCAGUUCUUUUUUUGUAAUAUGCCCCACAUUUGUCACAAAUGACACGAGAUUCGGUGGAUCUGUUCGGCAGUAAAAUCAGAAGCAGAGUAUGUGUUAUGGACUGUAGUUUUGUCCUGGAAUGGAUUUUAAGACAGGAGAAUAAUUGGUUGUUGUAAUAUGUAAGGCACUGGAACGAGCAAUUCUGACGACUGCUUGGAGGUGGUGGCAGUUUCAAAAGGAUAUAUGCUAAUAUACAAGGGUUUGUUCAGCCGCA